CCUACGGGUGGCAGCAGUGAGGAAUAUUGGUCAAUGGACGCAAGCCUGAACCAGCCAAGUAGCGUGAAGGAUGACUGCCCUACGGGUUGUAAACUUCUUUUAUAAAGGAGUAAAGUUAGGCACGUGUACCUUUUUGUAUGUACUUUAUGAAUAAGGAUCGGCUAACUCCGUGCCAGCAGCCGCGGUAAUACGGAGGAUCCGAGCGUUAUCCGGAUUUAUUGGGUUUAAAGGGAGCGUAGAUGGGUUGUUAAGUCAGUGGUGAAAGUUUGCGGCUCAACCGUAAAAUUGCAAUUGAUACUGGUAGUCUUGAGUACAGUUGAGGUAGGCGGAAUGCGUGGUGUAGCGGUGAAAUGCUUAGAGAUCACGAAGAACUCCGAUUGCGAAGGCAGCUUACUAAUCUGCCACUGACAUUGAGGCACGAAAGUGUGGGUAGCAAACAGGAUUAGAUACCCCUGUAGUC
rnacentral:rRNA from 1 species